CCUCGGUCCUAUAACGACGAGGCAGCCGUUGCGGGCGAGCGAGCGACGACGGCAGCCGGAGAUUGGGAGCCCGCGGCGCCGUGACGGGUAGAUCCUCCGAUCCACGCACUGCCACCGGCUGGCCGCCCGCACGCCUCCCCGCCGACGGGCUCGCCGGCCCCUCCCCACGCGCCUUCCCUCCGACAAGCGCCGCUCCCGGAUCCUCCCCGCACGCCUCCCCUCCGACGGGCUCGCCGGCCCCUCCCCGCGCGCCUCCCCUCCGACGGGUGCCGGCUUCUCCCCGCCGACGGGCGCUGGCCCCUACCCGUCCGCCUCCCCGCUGGCGUUACUCGUCCCCUCCCCACGUGCCUCCCCGCGGGCAUUCGCCGGCCCCUACCCGCGAGUCUCCUUGCCGCCGGUCCCUCCCCGUGAAGCUCCCCGCCGCCAUCGACGCCAGCUGCUGCCCGCAAACGGGAUGGAUUCAAUGCCCGCUGCCGGAUCCAGCGCCCCCCACCACCAUCUCCCGAUUCACUGCCUGCCGCGCAUGGCGUCGCCCUUCCUUCCUCUUAUUCUUAUUUCCCAGCCGGCAGUGGCAUCACAUGUGCUGCAGCUUCCAGCGUCGUCCUCUGCCUUGUCGGCGCACAAGCCGUUCGCCUCAGCCACCCCAGUCCGUUCACAAUUUCCAGCAGAGUCCGUUCAACACUAGCGUGCAGCUACCCGCCUCCUAGAUUCAGGGACGCAUUCAUGGCUUCAUUCAACAAUUGGACUGUGGGCAGAUGUUGAUCAACAAGUGAGCUAAGGGACUGGGACGCCCUCCUCGCCGUGGCGUCAUUGCUGGCCGUCAGCGGCGGAAGCGGGGUGGCGGCCGGGACCUUGUCGUGCUCGUCUCUGACUACUGUCAAGGUAUGCAUGCACAUCUGUACUUUAGUCAACAAAAGACAACAGGGAUUGGUAUUAUGAUUUGUGAUCUGAUUGGUCCUGUGUGUUACUUUACUAUUGGACCGAGGAACCUGACAUUAAAAUGAAUCAUCUACAGGCUGGAACAUGGAGCUUGCAGCUUAUGUUUGUUGUAGUUCGAACUUAGGCUCAUCUCUCUCUUGUACUUCAGUUAUUCUUCAGUUUUCAGUAUUGGUGUAGUCUGUAUGGUGAAGAUGAAGUUCCUUUUUGAACUUCUCCGGUUAAUAUAGAUGAACUUGGUCAUCUUUUUUAUAUGUACUUACAUCAGCUCAUCCAGUUGUUCGUGUACUUGAAAUACUAAUCAGUUCAGAUCUCGAGAGAGGUAAGCUCAGAGAAAAAAAUACAGAAGUUCAAAGUCGAUAAAAAGGGGGAUGUUAUUUCUUUGUCUUGCCACCGUGGCCGAGUUAGCUUCAACCUGUGUAGUUUAGUCGCCAUAUUUGUGAUGCAUCCACAGUUAGUUGACCACAACUUGUACAAUUAAAUGCCACCUCUAGUUUCAGGUUUCUUCGUUGUUGUAAGGCUUGUGAAAUAUCUUACCACUGAGGUUGUGGUGCCUUUUUCUUUCAGUAAAAAUUCAGGUUGGGAAGCUUAUUUUUUCCAAAGUGAUUGUUUGGGUACUACAAGCUCCCAUAGAGUGGAAGCGAUUGUUACAACAGGUUUGAAGUAGAUAUUACACAAGGUUUGAUUUUUCUAGACCAUGUACAAGGACAGUAGCGUACUUAUGCAGUGGUCUGCCUUUUCUUAACUUUAUUUGAUUUUUUUGUGAAAUAUAUAAAAGCCGGUAGUAGUACUAUUACUUAUUUUACCACAGGUCAUUGACUUAAACUAUAUCAGUUUAGCACAUGUACUUACAAAACCAAAUCAACAGGUUUGUAGGUUUUUUUCAGCUCAUCUUGUUGGCUUUUUUGGUUCAUAUUGCAGGCUUUUAGGAUUAGAUUCUCAUGUCUGUUUCAGUAUUAAGGAGAAGUAAAACCAUUCAUUUCUUGUAUAUUUAUUAUUACUGUAGUACUAGCUACUCCGUUCUAGUAGUAUAUGGAGUAUGUGAUCAGCUCAUGCAGUAUAUACUAUGCACAAAAUGUCUGUAGGGUGCUUUACAUACAAAGAACUUGCUUUCUCUGGACCAUGCAAGCUUCCUCAAAGGAGCUCAUGUCGAACGAGUGCUUUACAUACAAAUGAGCGCAAAGAUGGCCAUUAGCUUAAUUUGGAUGUCGCGUGGCUGGCACCAUUAUCGUAAAUUUUUGUUUCUGCACUAAGUUUCCUAAUGUAUUUUCUUCACAAAAGUUUAGUGAAAAAUUUACUUCAUGUUACUCGUGAUCUCGCAACUGUAUGUUCACCUAUGAAGGUAUCUCUCAUUGCUUAUUGUUACAUUAAUUUCCAUGGUAAGAAAGGUUUACAUUAAAAGUAACAUCCAUAUAGGAAAAAUGCUUCUAUUCUAACACUUUUUUUUGGAAAAAAGAGCACUAGUACUGAUGAGUCGUAUUGACAAGGAUGCCGUCUACAAUUCUGAUGAGUCCUACUGAGAAGGAGAUAAUUAUUGUGCAACUGGAAAAAACAAAUGUUUUAUAAAGAAAUAUGCUUGAAGUUCAAUUACUAUGGUCUAAAAAAUUCAAUUACAUCUCUAGUGCAUUCAGAAUUGCUAAUUUAAAAAAAAAUGAAGUUCCUAUUUCAGGAUUAUGUAAGUUCAAAAUUAGUGUAUGAUAUGUGUGCCAUAGUUAUCUGGACUUCAAUUCUGACUAAUAUUCCAUUAUAGUACUACUGCAUAUUCACUUAUGAUUGCUUCUUGCUGCCACUAUUUUUAUCAUGAUUUUGUGUGUCCACCCAGGAGUGUUUUUGUUUCUGUAUUUUAGCUCCUCAACAACAGAAGCAUGUACAUGUAUUACUACUGCGAAGGUUCAAAAAUCAGAACUCAACAAGUUCAACAUCGAUGGUACUGUGCACAUGCGCUAAGCCGUUCUACAACAUAGCGCUAAGCCGUUCUACGCAGCUAAAGGAGGUGAAGGUGCUCCCCUUGGGUUCAUCUUGCAGGUUUCGUUCAAACUUGGCAACCUAGGUCGUUCAACAACACCACUAGAGCCCGUUCAGUUGGUGGCGUUCCAACUAGCCACUCAAAGUUGUGGCCAUUUAAUGACACUUUCUACAUUUGAGACAUGAGAAACUGUAGCCUUCCAGUGUGUUACCGUUUGGUAGCUCAGGAUGCUUUAUGUUUUGGAGAUCUACAAAGUGACUAUCUGAGAGCUGUGUUGGACUUUCUCAUUACAGCAUGGAACUUCUCUAGAAAUCCUAGUUGAUGCUUGCUCCCACCAGUCAAUUGUGCAAGUUCAGUGGGUGUCAUCGAGCAUGUUCAAAAGUAUGCCCUUUGUGCAAAAGUUUGAAUUUUUGUCAGUAUUUUGUAUAUUUCAUUUGGCAGAGGCUUCAUGUGAUCUUGUGGAGCUUUAUAAAAUGUUCUCUCAUCACACUUUUAAGGCCCUAUAGUUCAUUAUAUCAUACAUGUGUGGCCAUUCAGUAUGUAUUAUAGGAUCAGUUCUUGAAAAAGAAGAACACAUACA